rnacentral:rRNA from 1 species
UACGUAGGGGGCAAGCGUUGUCCGGAAUUAUUGGGCGUAAAGAGCGUGUAGGCGGUCCGGUAAGUCGGCUGUGGAAAGUCCAAGGCUCAACCCGUUGGGAUGCCGGUCGAUACUGCCGGACUAGAGUUCGGAAGAGGCGAGUGGAAUCCGUGGUGUAGCGGUGGAAUGCGCAGAUAUCAGGAGGAACACCAAUAGCGAAGGCAGCUCGCUGGGACGGUACUGACGCUGAGGCGCGAAAGCGUGGGGAGCGAACAGG